AACAAUUGGCCAUUUACGACAUCACAUAUUGCAUUCAGUGUACAUCUUGAUGUGCCAAUCAUUAGAUCAUAUUGAGUUAUUUAAAUAUUAUAAUAAAUUCAACCAAGACCUUUGUCUAUGAACGAUGCUGACUGUUUAAGACCAGAGUUACAUGGCCAUGUGAAGUCAGCUUCUACCAUCUGCAGUAUCAAAUGAACUCUAUCCCCGAGUCCUUUAGCAAGUAAUGAAUACACUGUGUCCGUGACAAGCAUGAGUCGAUCCAAGCCAUAAUUUAAUUUGUCAUCCUUCGAUACUUUAUCAAGGACUGAUGUUUUAAGAAGUUCCAUAUUUUUAAAUCUGAAAUAAAACGUUUCUCUAGUAUUAUUCAAUAGUAUGAUGCUAAUUACAUAAAAUAUUUCAGUUAAAGCAGUGCACAUAAUCCGUACUUUUUCAAUGUCAGUUCUGCAACUAAAAUAAUGUCCUGCAAUGUUUCUUUGACUUAAAUGGCGAUCUACGGCCAAAUGGCAAUUGUAUAAAAGUCGGUUUUCGUAAAGAAAAAUGAACCGUGAGCUCAUUAACCUAAGCAAAAAAAAGUAAGUUAAUCAUAACUUAUUUUUUUCAUAUUGUGUGAAACCAACUGUUGGUUACAUUGAUUUUCCUACCACUCAAUUCUGUUUUAAAAACAAAUACAAUAAAAUCAAGUUUGGAUUUAAAUAUUUCACAUGAUUUUCCAGUUGUCCCAUCUAUGUAGCUCCUAAGAUGCAAGGUUUAUUUUGUAAUAAAGAAAAAAAUGUAAGUACUUAAAUAAACUUACCUCAAUAUAUGAUCAAAUUUCAUGAGCAUUUUAACUGGUGUCAUAAACAGUGGUAUAAAACUAUUUAUUUUCACAUUAUCAAGCAUUUCCACAGCUAAGGCACAUUCUCUCUUCAGUGCGUAAUAUGUCCCUUUACAAAUUUGCCAGCAUAUAUUGUAGUAUCCUGUGCUGUCUAUAAAUACUAUAGGAAAAUUUUGGUGGAAUUCUUCAAGGGAUGGAGUAGCAUCUGCGGCUUUGCAUAGUGAGAUACCUUUCUUGUCCCAUUCUGAUGUUUCUAAAAUUGAUUUAUUAUUUACAAUUUUAAUACUUUUAGGCAUCCAGAGGUCCACCUGUUUUAGAUCUUAUUUAGGACACUAUGAUUAAAUCUAGUAUUAAUUAGUAAAAUUAUUCUUACAAUUAAAUUUAUUAAGUUUGAAGUUUUUAAUCACUGCAGAUAUUAAUUAGUGUGGAUAUGGCAACCUUCAAAAACAUGUGUACAGACUUACAAAUGAUGUAGUAAAUAGUAGUACUUAAAGAUUAUUCUGUUACAACAGAAUCCUGAACAGUCUCUGUGAUAAUAUGAGUAUGGCUAUAGUUACAGUCACUGAGUUAACUGUUGCAGUCUAAAGGUAUGUUUUUUUUGUAAAAUGUAAGGUUUAAUUAGUAAUCAGUAAGUCUAUGGUGCCAAUACUUAUAGGAGCAUGUUUUGUUAAUCAAAUAGUUUUUCUAUACUACAGAUUUUUUAUCGACUUACUCAAUGC